rnacentral:rRNA from 1 species
AGAGUUUGAUCAAGAGUUUGAUCAUUGAACGCUGGCGGAAUGCUUUACACAUGCAAGUCGAACGGCAGCACGGACUUCGGUCUGGUGGCGAGUGGCGAACGGGUGAGUAAUGUAUCGGAACGUGCCCAGUCGUGGGGGAUAACGUAGUGAAAAUUACGCUAAUACCGCAUACGAUCUAUGGAUGAAAGCGGGGGACCGUAAGGCCUCGCGCGAUUGGAGCGGCCGAUAUCAGAUUAGGUAGUUGGUGAGGUAAAGGCUCACCAAGCCGACGAUCUGUAGCUGGUCUGAGAGGACGACCAGCCACACUGGGACUGAGACACGGCCCAGACUCCUACGGGAGGCAGCAGUGGGGAAUUUUGGACAAUGGGCGCAAGCCUGAUCCAGCCAUUCCGCGUGCAGGACGAAGGCCUUCGGGUUGUAAACUGCUUUUGUACAGAACGAAAAGCUCUGGGUUAAUACCCUGGGGUCAUGACGGUACUGUAAGAAUAAGCACCGGCUAACUACGUGCCAGCAGCCGCGGUAAU